GGCGAGAUUAAAGGAUUCGCAUGCAGUGCAUCUUAAGAACAUCGAAUCCUGACACCAUGGCAGUUCGCGCUCUUAGCCUAGUGCUCCUGUGUACAUUUGUCACGGUCAUUUUCGGAUUGCCGACUUCGCCAGAGACAGCUGUAAAUGCACACGAGGAACGCACAUUAUCGACCGAGUUGCAACCGCCCGCAUCAUCUUCAGACGAGAAGGAACACUAUGCUACAAUCUAUAUAAUUAAUUUGUAUGCUGUAAAAAAUAGUAGCAGCAAUGUAUCGGAGGAAAUGUUUCAAAAUGAAGUCGUAGAAACGUUACCUGACAUAAUAGAGCCACUAGUUUCUGUCAUCCUAGUAGUAGAAGAUGAUGAAAAUGAAGAGUCAGAAAAUCAUCGACCUGUCGACCUCGACAAAUUUGCGGGAGAAUUGAAAGACGAAGGUUUCAAGGUCGACAAGAUCGAUCUCAAUAGCAAAACGAAAGUGCUUAAGAUGAAAUUGGAAAAGAUGGAGGCACAGAGUAUGAUAGACUCGGCUUUGAAGGGUGAUCAGAAGAAAUUUCGUCAAAAGAGAUCCUACUGUUACAAAUGUGGAGGACAUGGUGGAGGAUAUGGUGGAGGAUAUGGACAUCAUCAUCAUGGUGGUCAUCGCGGACGCGGCGGCUGUUGCGGGUAAUAUUCUAUAACUGAUCAAUACUUGUAUGCGGUUUCAAUACUUUACGUGGAGGUGGCGGACACGGUGGCGGAUACGGUGGUGGAGGUGGGUAUGCUUCUGCCUCCGCGACAGCCCAGGCUAGCGCUGGAAGCUGGGGAAGAAAAAAAUGAGCAGACUAUACACAAUCACGUAAACAUGUUGCAUCGCUGAGAUUAAUGAUUUAUGCUGCCUUCAUGUUUAAUACACAUGCAUGUAUAGUACAAAAAACAACGUAGAUUUUUCGAAUGCUAUAAAUCAUUACCAAAUCAUUAUCAAAUAAACGUUAUGAGUAUCAAUAUCCAAAAA